rnacentral:rRNA from 1 species
AGUGGAUGGGGAACAACCUAGUUGUGCGUGUGUAAAGGUAGUGCCAAGAAAAGCGGUGAUCAUGAUGAAAAUCAAUUCCCGGUACCCGAAACCGACACAGGUGGGCAAGUAGAGAAUACUAAGGGGCGCGAGGUAACUCUCUCCAAGGAACUCGGCAAAAUGACCCCGUAACUUAGGGAGAAGGGGUGCCACCGAGAGGUGGUCGCAGUGAAGAGGCCCAGGCGACUGUUUAGCAAAAACAUAGGUCUCUGCAAACUCGAAAGAGGAGGUAUAGGGGCUGACGCCUGCCCAGUGCCGGAAGGUUAAAGAAGUUGGUCAGUCUUAGGAUGAAGCUAGCGACUGAAGCCCCGGUGAACGGCGGCCGUAACUAUAACGGUCCUAAGGUAGCGAAAUUCCUUGUCGGGUAAGUUCCGACCCGCACGAAAGGCGUAACGAUCUGGGCGCUGUCUCGGAGAGAGGCUCGGCGAAAUAGGAUUGUCUGUGAAGAUACGGACUACCUGCAUUUGGACAGAAAGACCCUAUGAAGCUUUACUAUAGCUUGGAAUUGUGUUCGGGCUUCCUGUGCGCAGGAUAGGUGGGAGGCGUAGAAGGUAUUCUUGUGGGGAUACUGGAGGCAACGGUGAGAUACCACUCUCAGGAGGCUAGAAUUCUAACUUAAUUAAGGACAGUUUCAGGUGGGUGGUUUGACUGGGGCGGUCGCCUCCAAAAAGGUAACGGAGGCGUACAAAGGUUCCCUCAGACUGGUUGGAAAUCAGUCGCAGAGUGCAAAGGCAGAAGGGAGCUUGACUGCGAGAAGUACAGUUCGAGCAGGGUGGAAACACGGUCUUAGUGAUCCGACGGUGCUGUGUGGAAGGGCCGUCGUUCAACGGAUAAAAGUUACUCUAGGAUAACAGGCUGAUCUCCCCCAAGAGUUCACAUCGACGGGGAGGUUUGGCACCUCGAUGUCGGCUCAUCGCAACCUGGGGCGGAAGUACGUCCCAAGGGUUGGGCUGUUCGCCCAUUAAAGCGGUACGUGAGCUGGGUUCAGAACGUCGUGAGACAGUUCGGUCCAUAUCCGAUGUAGGCGUGAGAAUAUUGAGAGGAGCCUUCCUUAGUACGAGAGGACCGGGAAGGACGCACCGCUGGUGUACCUGUUAUGAUGCCAAUUGUAAACGCAGGGUAGCCAAGUGCGGAGAGGAUAACCGCUGAAAGCAUCUAAGUGGGAAGCCCACCUCAAGAUGAGUAUUCUGGUGUAAGGUCACGGGAAGACGACCCGUAAAUAGGCACGAGGUGGAAGUGCAGAGAUGUAUGAAGCCGAAGUGUACUAAUAGACCGUCGGCUUGAUC